UGCUGUCAAAAUUCAGAACAUAGAACCCCUACUUUCAAACCCAUCCUAUUUGCCCUUUUAAAAUCUAAAUAUUAAAUUAGCACACCCUAACAACUAGAUGCUUCUCAACAUUCUUCGAUCAGAUUGAUUUAGGAUCAGAACAACUGUACUACUUGAUUGCAAUCUAAUUUCUUAAAUUGAAUAAUCUUAAUCCUUAAUUCUGAAUAACCGAAGUAAAAAUCAGCAAUAUUUAAAUUUUAAGUUAUUUUUGUGAAGACUUGCUGAUUUCUGAAAUCAUAAUAGAUUACA
rnacentral:lncRNA from 1 species